UCCAGACCGAGAUAUAUACCGGAUGUGGGAAGCAACCAGUUAGGCUAAUUGAUCGAUUAACCAAUGAGAUGGGAGGAAUGGAGACGUGACCUUCUCCACUGGCUGGGACUUAUUUAUUUAUUUAUUUUUUUUAAAAUGGCGGCCUAAUUAAACUUCUCUGCCCACUUUGUUGCCUCUGCCACGUAUGGCGCCAACACCGCCGCGGACACUUGCUGCUGCUUGUCCAUGCGUUGGAUUAUAAACGAGCUCGUCUGUGGACUCAGGAGGCUUUGUGGAGUUAGCCCUUAAUCGUGGCGGUCGUGCGUCUCCCGAGAGUCACCUGAGGCUGGAAGCUGAGUUUCCUGUCCUAUGGUGUCCGCAGAUGGGGAGCUCGCAGAGUCCGAUUUUUCCACUUCACCGAGCUAUCAGAGAAGAAAGCAAGCUGCCGUGGGUGCAAAUCCUGAUCAGCCAGCAAUCAAGAAUUUAUCAGAUGCUGCAGCUGAAAAGAAGCGACAUAAUGGUCUUUAACCCAAAAACAGAUGGCUGGAGGACUGUGUGCAACAAAUGAAAUCAGACAUAGCAGACAGGGAACCAGCCAAAACCUCCUUCUCUGCAACACUGGUUCUUGAUAGAAACAGAGUUUUAAAGGGCAUAGAGUUGCUUCUGUUUUACAAGAUGCAAGAAAAGUUUUGACAAAUUUUUGCAUCAUAACACAGGGGCUCAAGAUGAAUUAGAACAAUUUUCAUUCACCAAUUUUUUUUAGAAUUAAAAGGAUAAUAAAACUUUCAGGACUUGUCGGCAAGAUAAGAUGACGUCCUGAAGCAGCCGGUUGCAUUGCUUUAGACCCCAGGUUUUAGUUGAUUGUCAGUACGCAAAUAAUGUGCUUUGUCUUUUAAAAAGUCAGUUAAGCAAAAUUCCAGCUUGUCUGUCAAGAUCUCUUCCUUUUUAGACUGAAUAAAAAUAGGCAGGUAUGAAGAAAAACAACUGAAAAAGAGAAAGCAAGCAAGAAAAGCAGUGUCAUAAUGCAGCCACUGCUCCAUUGGCCUUCAGUUGCAAAGAGUUUGUCAGGAAGCUAGGAGCAUUAAACAAUGCCAUUGUAGGUUUGAGUGCGUCUGAGAUGAAUGUUGGGUUAAACCAACACUAUACCUUCCAAAGAGGCCACAUUUCUACAGAGUGAGAGUGCCUCUACUACAAAAUAAAGCUCUUUUC